rnacentral:rRNA from 1 species
CAGAGGGUGCAAGCGUUAAUCGGAUUUACUGGGCGUAAAGCGUGUGUAGGUGGCUACCUAAGUCGAUUGUGAAAUCCCUGGGCUCAGCCUGGGAAUUGCAGUCGAUACUGGGCAGCUCGAGUUCGGUAGAGGGUGACGGAAUUCCCGGUGUAGCGGUGAAAUGCGUAGAUAUCGGGAGGAACAUCGAUGGCGAAGGCAAUCACCUGGGCCUGAACUGACACUGUGACACGAAAGCGUGGGUAGCAAACAGGAUUAGAUACCCUGGUAGUCCACGCUGUAAACGAUGGGAACCUGACGUCGGUUUGCUCUGCGAAUCGGUGUCGUAGCUAACGCGCUAAGUUCCCCGCCUGGGGAGUACGGCCGCAAGGUUG